GUCUCGGAUAGCUUAACUGGAGAGCCUUUGGCGCGUAACCGAGAGAUCUGGGUUCGAUUCCCAGUCUGGGCU
rnacentral:tRNA from 1 species